GAUGAACGCUGGCGGCGUGCCUAAUACAUGCAAGUCGAGCGAACAGACGAGGAGCUUGCUCCUCUGACGUUAGCGGCGGACGGGUGAGUAACACGUGGAUAACCUACCUAUAAGACUGGGAUAACUUCGGGAAACCGGAGCUAAUACCGGAUAAUAUAUUGAACCGCAUGGUUCAAUAGUGAAAGACGGUUUUGCUGUCACUUAUAGAUGGAUCCGCGCCGCAUUAGCUAGUUGGUAAGGUAACGGCUUACCAAGGCAACGAUGCGUAGCCGACCUGAGAGGGUGAUCGGCCACACUGGAACUGAGACACGGUCCAGACUCUUACGGGAGGCAGCAGUAGGGAAUCUUCCGCAAUGGGCGAAAGCCUGACGGAGCAACGCCGCGUGAGUGAUGAAGGUCUUCGGAUCGUAAAACUCUGUUAUUAGGGAAGAACAAAUGUGUAAGUAACUGUGCACGUCUUGACGGUACCUAAUCAGAAAGCCACGGCUAACUACGUG
rnacentral:rRNA from 1 species